AAUCCAUGAUGUGGCCAUUAUCUGAGCAUAUUGUUAUAUCUAUCUCAUGCUUCAAAUAAGGAUUCUAAAUCUAACUGUUUGAAGCUUGCAAUUAAAUUUCUCAUAUG